UCAGGGGUAGCUCAGUGGUAGAGCGUUCGACCAGCAAGACGAUCGGCCCCAGGUUCAAAUCCUGGUCCCUGAC